GCCCCUGUAGUGUAGUGGAUAUCACCCCGGCCUCCGGAGCCAGGAACCCGCGUUCGAAUCGCGGCAGGGGCGC
rnacentral:tRNA from 1 species